GUGCUCGCUUCAGCAGCACAUAUACUAAAAUUGGAACGAUACAGAGAAGAUUAGUGUGGCCCCUGUGCAAGGAUGAAGUGUUCCAUAUUUAAACAAAACAAAACAAA